UGCCAGCAGCCGCGGUAAUACGGAGGAUCCAAGCGUUAUCCGGAAUUACUGGGCGUAAAGCGCGCGUAGGUGGUCUGUUAAGUCGGAUGUGAAAGCCCCGGGCUCAACCUGGGAACUGCAUUCGAUACUGGCAGACUAGAGUGCGGGAGAGGGAGGUAGAAUUCCAUGUGUAGCGGUGAAAUGCGUAGAUAUGUGGAGGAAUACCAGUGGCGAAGGCGGCCUCCUGGCUCGAUACUGACGCUGAGGUACGAAAGUGUGGGGAGCAAACAGGAUUAGAUA
rnacentral:rRNA from 1 species